GAAUUAGGUGUCCGAAAGGACUUAAUAGGGAAGUUUGGUUAAAUGCCAACGCGGUCCCGCCACUGUAUUAGGGAGCGAACUCAACAAAUGUCACUGGAAAAAAUUCUGGGAAGACUGAGCGAGCGAUGAACUAGAGCCAGGAGAACUGCCUAAUUAA
rnacentral:ncRNA from 1 species